UGGGGAAUCUUCCGCAAUGGACGAAAGUCUGACGGAGCAACGCCGCGUGAGUGAUGACGGCCUUCGGGUUGUAAAGCUCUGUUAAUCGGGACGAAUGGUUCUUGUGCGAAUAGUGCAAGGAUUUGACGGUACCGGAAUAGAAAGCCACGGCUAACUACGUGCCAGCAGCCGCGGUAAUACGUAGGUGGCAAGCGUUGUCCGGAAUUAUUGGGCGUAAAGCGCGCGCAGGCGGAUUGGUCAGUCUGUCUUAAAAGUUCGGGGCUUAACCCCGUGAUGGGAUGGAAACUGCCAAUCUAGAGUAUCGGAGAGGAAAGUGGAAUUCCUAGUGUAGCGGUGAAAUGCGUAGAUAUUAGGAAGAACACCAGUGGCGAAGGCGACUUUCUGGACGAAAACUGACGCUGAGGCGCGAAAGCCAGGGGAGCGAACAGG
rnacentral:rRNA from 1 species